UGGGGAAUAUUGGACAAUGGGCGCAAGCCUGAUCCAGCCAUGCCGCGUGCAGGAUGACGGUCCUAUGGAUUGUAAACUGCUUUUGUACAGGAAGAAACAGUUCUACGUGUAGAACCUUGACGGUACUGUAAGAAUAAGGAUCGGCUAACUCCGUGCCAGCAGCCGCGGUAAUACGGAGGAUCCAAGCGUUAUCCGGAAUCAUUGGGUUUAAAGGGUCCGUAGGCGGUUAGAUAAGUCAGUGGUGAAAGCCCAUCGCUCAACGGUGGAACGGCCAUUGAUACUGUCUGACUUGAAUUAUUAGGAAGUAACUAGAAUAUGUAGUGUAGCGGUGAAAUGCUUAGAGAUUACAUGGAAUACCAAUUGCGAAGGCAGGUUACUACUAAUGGAUUGACGCUGAUGGACGAAAGCGUGGGUAGCGAACAGGAUUAGAUACCCCUGUAGUCCCUGAGCGGGCUGGCAAGGCGCAU
rnacentral:rRNA from 1 species